AGGGAAUCUUCCACAAUGGACGAAAGUCUGAUGGAGCAACGCCGCGUGAGUGAUGAAGGUUUUCGGAUCGUAAAUCUCUGUUGUAAGGGAAGAACCAGUACGUCAGGCAAUGGACGUACCUUGACGGUACCUUAUUAGAACGCCACGGCUAACUACGUGCCAGCAGCCGCGGUAAUACGUAGGUGGCAAGCGUUGUCCGGAAUUAUUGGGCGUAAAGCGCGCGCAGGCGGUCUGUCAAGUCGGAUGUGAAAUCCCCGGGCUCAACCUGGGAACUGCAUUCGAAACUGGCAGGCUUGAGUCUCGUAGAGGGGGGUAGAAUUCCAGGUGUAGCGGUGAAAUGCGUAGAGAUCUCGAGGAAUACCGGUGGCGAAGGCGGCCCCCUGGACGAAGACUGACGCUCAGGUGCGAAAGCGUGGGGAGCAAACA
rnacentral:rRNA from 1 species